rnacentral:lncRNA from 1 species
AGGGCAGCCUGUGGAAGGGCUUGUUUCACCCCGCCACUUAGUAUUCUUCCAGAAUGGAAAGUGGCGUCGUCUGUUGACAAAAAAACCAAAUAUUUUAAGGCCUUUAAAUAUUCUAUUCCGACUGGAACUUCGUAUUAUUUCUUUCAAAGCAUCUACAUGUUGAUUGUCUCGUCUGAGAAAUAGGUAAAGCUAUCAGAUGAGAUAACUAUUCUCUCUUUGUAGAGUGAUAGGUAAAGCUAUCACUCUACAAAGAGAGAAAAUUUUUAAGGGGGCAAAAAAAAUCGUCUCUGACUGAACUGUCGAUAGCGAUUUAUAACAAGGAAAUUGUCUCCAUAGAGGAACAACCAAUCAGAAGCGACGUUCGCUCUCUGACAUCAGAUAAUUCAUCUAGAGAGAUGAUUUUUCUUAAGAGCUGUGUAGACCCCCUGGAAACUCCUUGCGCAUUUAGUGUCGAUGAAAUUUUAAUCACUUAUACAGUAUAUCCAGUCGAAAGAUAUUUGCAUACCGAGUCCCGCAUUACUCGCUCUACUUUUUAGGAGUGCGUCGUGUUUGUGAUAAACAGUGUACAUGGCUUAUCUAGCUGAUUCUUCACGAAACAUUGGCGUCAGCCAUCCAUAAUCCUAGGUUACAAAAAACAAUUAGCAGUGUAUUAAUCGUAGAAAGGAUAUUUCAGAGAAAAAGAUUGAAAGACUAAAUUGACGAUUAUCUUCGUGUCUUGACUUAAAUGUAAGUUUAAUGGAAAAGAUUUUUUAUUUUCCUAGUGGAUAUAAACUGAAUAUAUUCGAUUUGAAAUCGAUACGAAGAAGAUUACUAUCAUUAUCUCAGUUUAUUGUAUCACAACUUUUCUAUGACGAGAAAGAAAGGAUAAAUCGGUUAAUUUCCUUCUGGUGGUGAAAAUAUUAAAACAAUUCCUUAAUUCUUGAUGGAAAAUGGUUGGAUAAAAUUAUAGUUAUUAUUACUAUUUGUGUAUCAAAUCAAGUACGAAAUUCUCGUUGGUUUGGGGUCUGGUUACAUCUGACAAUUGAAAUCGUUCCAAAGAUGCCUUUUCGGCUUUUCUCCCGACAUUCGGUAUUGACGCGAAAACUUUUUUUAAUGACAAAACGUCCACCCUUUGGCUAUUUUUUUAUAUCGUCUAAACAGGAAAAAAUUGCGGACAUUUUUUUAAAAGUAUUGUUUAUGAUCGAGACGUUUUCUGUACUUUUAUCCUAUCAAAAGAUAUGUUUGAUCCGAUUUUUCCCAAUGAGGAAUCGAACGAAAACUUAUUACUAAUGGUUUGUCUGUUUCUCCAGUUACGUGCCUCAAGCCGAUAAUACCGAUGGUAUGGAAAGAUAAAGCGCUAGAUCUGUCCA